rnacentral:tRNA from 1 species
AUGCGCAUGUGUGAGGAUGACGGCGUCGAUCUUCUUGGGAUCGAAGGGAAAUUGACGGUAGUUCAGUUCUUUCUCCGUCUUC